rnacentral:rRNA from 1 species
UACGGAGGAGGCAAGCGUUAUCCGGAAUGAUUGGGCGUAAAGCGUCCGUAGGUGGCAGUUCAAGUCUGCUGUCAAAGACAGUAGCUCAACUACUGAAAGGCAGUGGAAACUGAACAGCUAGAGUACGGUAGGGGCAGAGGGAAUUCCCGGUGUAGCGGUGAAAUGCGUAGAUAUCGGGAAGGACACCGGUGGCGAAAGCGCUCUGCUGGGCCGUAACUGACACUGAGGGACGAAAGCUAGGGGAGCGAAUGGG